GAUGAACGCUGGCGGCGUGCUUAACACAUGCAAGUCGAACGGCGGCACGGGUGCUUGCACCUGGUGGCGAGUGGCGAACGGGUGAGUAAUACAUCGGAACGUACCUUAUCGUGGGGGAUAACGCAGCGAAAGCUGUGCUAAUACCGCAUACGCCCUGAGGGGGAAAGCGGGGGAUCGCAAGACCUCGCGCGAUUAGAGCGGCCGAUGCCUGAUUAGCUAGUUGGUGGGGUAAAAGCCCACCAAGGCGACGAUCAGUAGCUGGUCUGAGAGGACGAGCAGCCACACGGGGACUGAGACACGGCCCAGACUCCUGCGGGAGGCAGCAGUGGGGAAUUUUGGACAAUGGGGGCAACCCUGAUCCAGCAAUGCCGCGUGAGUGAAGAAGGCCUUCGGGUUGUAAAGCUCUUUUGUCAGGGAAGAAACACCGGCUCUAACACAGUCCGGGAAUGACGGUACCUGAAGAAUAAGCACCGGCUAACUACGUGCCAGCAGCCGCCGCGG
rnacentral:rRNA from 1 species